rnacentral:rRNA from 1 species
AACGAGCGUUAGCGGCGCGCCUAACACAUGCAAGUCGCGCGAGAAAGGGCUUCGGCCCCAGUAAAGCGGCGCACGGGUGAGUAACACGUAGGUCAUCUUCCCCUGAGUGGUGGAUAACUCUCCGAAAGGAGAGCUAAUACAGCAUAAGACCACGACCUCGCCGAGGUUGUGGCCAAAGCAGACCUCUUCAUGAAAGUUUGCGCUUAGGGGAUGAGCCUGCGGCCCANCAGCUAGUUGGUAGGGUAAUGGCCUACCAAGGCUAAGACGGGUAGCUGGUCUGAGAGGAUGAACAGCCACACUGGAACUGAGACACGGUCCAGACUCCUACGGGAGGCAGCAGUGGGGAAUCUUGCGCAAUGGGACGAAAGCCUGACGCAGCGACGCCGCGUGAGCGAUGAAGGCCUUC